rnacentral:rRNA from 1 species
GACGAACGCUGGCGGCGUGCCUAACACAUGCAAGUCGAACGGAAAGGCCCUGCUUUUGUGGGGUGCUCGAGUGGCGAACGGGUGAGUAACACGUGAGUAACCUGCCCUUGACUUUGGGAUAACUUCAGGAAACUGGGGCUAAUACCGGAUAGGAGCUCCUGCUGCAUGGUGGGGGUUGGAAAGUUUCGGCGGUUGGGGAUGGACUCGCGGCUUAUCAGCUUGUUGGUGGGGUAGUGGCUUACCAAGGCUUUGACGGGUAGGCGGCCUGAGAGGGUGACCGGGCACAAUGGGCCUGAGGUAGGGCGCAGACUCCUACGGGGGGCAGCAGUGGGGAAUAUUGCACAGUGGGCGGAAGCCUGAUGCGACAACGCCGCGUGCGGAAUGACGGCCUUCGGGUUAUAAACCGCUUUCGCCUGUGACGAAGCGUGAGUGACGGUAAUGGGUAAAGAAGCACCGGCUAACUACGUG